CAUGCUGAAGCUGCUUGAGGGGCCAGCAUCCCCUUGGGGAGGGAGGCCCCUGCCUCUGACCGAUGUCUUCUUUCCUCUCCUUGCAGGUUCUGGGGCCUCCUAUGUGCUGACUCAGCCACCCUCAGUGUCCAAAGGCCUGGGAGAGACGGCCUCCAUCUCCUGUGCUGGGGAUGGAGUUAGUAGCUACUAUGUACACUGGUACCAGCAGAAACCUGGCCAGGCCCCUAAGCUGGUGAUUUAUAGCACUACCAGCAGGCCCUCGGGGAUCCCUGCCCGAUUCUCUGGCUCCAGCUCAGGGAACACGGCCACCCUGAGCAUCUCUGGGCUCCAGGCUGAGGAUGAGGCUGAUUAUUACUGUCAGCAGUGGGAUAGUAGUGGUAAUGCACACAGUGACACAGACUGA